rnacentral:lncRNA from 9 species
GUUUUGUUCAAGAAGAAGCUCUAGUCAGGCCAAUGAUAUAUUGAGACUGCCAAAAUAAUAAUAAUAAUGUGAACUUAGUCUGCAUUGAUGGAAGCAAAGACAUAAGGGGGAGACGGGGCCGAUUCUCCUGUUUCUAGAUUUUUUCCAAUUUUUGAGUGGUUCUGGUCCUAAUGCCAUUUUUUUUUUUUAGCAGUUGUAAAUGGAUUCAAUGUAUUCAAAAAGAAACAACUAUGCUGAUGGUUGAAACCAUAUAAGAUUAAAAAUGGUCAAAAGGCAUGGCAGUGUUUACCACUGAAGAAAAAUAAAUAAAAAUUCAAGGAUAACAAGAUAGCUAUACUUCAAUAUUUGAGAAAAUGCCACAAACAAGGAUUAUUUUUGCUUAGUAUAAACUCAAGUAGUAAAACUGGCAACAGUGAGUAGAGGAAGCUAUACACAGAAAGAAUUCAACUCUUAACAAGUGAGAUUUUUCUAAUAGUUGGAGUUGUACUAAUAUAAAGGGAACUGCCUUUGGAAAGAAUAUAAUUUUUGUUUCUGGAUACCCAUUCAGCAGGGAUAUUGCAGAAGAUGCAAACAUUAGAUGGUCAGACCAGAUCUGUGAGGCACCUUCCAAACUUAUACUUUUAUUAUUCUCAACUUUGUUUUGCAGGGGGUGGGGAGAAGAACAGCCACCUGACAAGUGGUUCUACUGCUUGGUUCAAAGAAGCAACAGUCUGCUUGGGGACUUUGGAAAAAGCCCACCUGAGUUACAGGAUUUUGGCAGAAGUAGCAAGAACUGAGAAGAAUUGUGUACCGCUGUAA